rnacentral:rRNA from 1 species
CCUACGGGAGGCAGCAGUGAGGAAUAUUGGUCAAUGGACGCAAGUCUGAACCAGCCAUGCCGCGUGCAGGAAGACGGCUCUAUGAGUUGUAAACUGCUUUUGUACGAGGGUAAAGGCAGAUACGCGUAUCUGUCUGAAAGUAUCGUACGAAUAAGGAUCGGCUAACUCCGUGCCAGCAGCCGCGGUAAUACGGAGGAUUCGAGCGUUAUCCGGAUUUAUUGGGUUUAAAGGGUGCGUAGGCGGUCGGAUAAGUUAGAGGUGAAAUCCCGAGGCUCAACCGCGGAAUUGCCUCUGAUACUGGCAGUCUAGAGAGGAGUUGAGGUAGGCGGAAUGUGUGGUGUAGCGGUGAAAUGCUUAGAUAUCAUGCAGAACACCGAUUGCGAAGGCAGCUUGCCAAGCCACAUCUGACGCUGAGGCACGAAAGCGUGGGGAGCGAACAGGAUUAGAUACCCCAGUAGUC